UUAGUUUCAGCUGUAGCAGAAUCUGAUGUCAGCCUGGUAAUUACUAGGCAGAGUCAAUAAUACCUCUCCUCAGUAUAAUUGCAAAUCCAGUACAACCAUGACCAGAACUAAAUUGCUUGAGAGCAAUCAAUAGAAAUCUCCUGAUUGCAUUCUCAGAUGUACACAUCAGAUGUAAAAAGAAAAACUGUCCAUCCAAGCAAAAGAUCAACUUUACAAAUGAAAACUGCAGUAUAAGGCUAGGAAGAAGUAUGUUCACACAGAAGCCUUGUAGUUAACUCUGGCUAGAAGUAACAGGUCUGAAUGGGAACAUGUAUAUUUUGAAAAACAGAGGCUAUGCCUACAUGAGCAGCGAUUUGAUGCAACUGGAGUACUAGAUUCAUGUAGAUGAUGAUGAGUUCCCAAUAUUUGUUCUCUGUGUGGUUUGUGGCUUUCACUCAGACUAAAUUUAGUUGGUUUCAUCACACCAAAUAUUCUCAUCACAUGUGGUUCAAAGCUGUUGAAACACCAAACUUUAACUCAGGUGUCUGUGUCACCAUUAUGGGCUGGACAUCAUUAGGUUUGCACCUGGAAUGGAAACUUCUGUCUCAGUUUCUUCUGUGAGGAAUGUAGUUCAAAUACACCAAAACCACUGUGAGGAUCAAAGCAAAGUAUGACAUCAUCAAGAAGGAGUUGGUGGCAGUUACUGAAGUUGAUGAAUAUGACUGAAAUUUCCAUGGUGGUUUCUGUGUUGUGGGGGUUGCUUGAGGAAGCCCCCAUAGAAUCCCGCAUCAGCAGUGAGAAUGCUGUCUUCAAAGAGGAGGAAGACAAGGAAGAAGAGGAGAAAGAGAAGGAAGAGAAAGAAGAGGAGGAAGAGGCGCACUGGAUGUGUUUGCUGUAAAACCCAAUCCCAACUUAAGGAAACAUUGUAAAAUAGAAAGAGAUGAGCACUGACAGGAGGGGAAAGACGGAGAGCAGACAUGUAACCACUGACUGUUUCCAUGAGCAGGAAAGUGACGUAAGCUUCAAAGUGAGGCUGUGUUUCAAGUCUGCACAUAUUUCCAUAGCUCUUGCCAUUUAUCAGUUCUAGGAAUCUGUAAACACCGAAGACCAUAUCCUAGAUUUGGCUUUGCUAAACAGUUCUUUCCAUUAGGUCCUUAAAGGAAUAGGAAGGAACUUGGGAAGUUUAAAGAGAUUCAGAUAUGUGUGAGUAUUCUCAAAGCAUUUAUCAGCCAUGGUUUUGAGCACAUAAGUUAAAGCAGAAUUGCUGAUUUCAAAAUGAAAGAGGUUAUGCAGUCAUUUGUAGCUGAUUUUAAGUUAUUUUUGGUGUGAGUUCUGCAUUGAUUAUGCUCCUGGAUUUACUGUUUUCAAAAUAUAUUUUCCAGAUUUUGUCCAUGUUUCAUGAUGCUUAAAAGCUGUUCACCAGUGACGUCUCAGAGAAAAAUUCAUGAAAAAUAAAGAUGUAUUACUGCUUUUUAAUAUAUGAUCC
rnacentral:lncRNA from 1 species